rnacentral:rRNA from 1 species
AGCGAACGCUGGCGGCAGGCUUAACACAUGCAAGUCGAGCGGGCAUCUUCGGAUGUCAGCGGCAGACGGGUGAGUAACACGUGGGAACGUACUCUUCGGUUCGGAACAACUCUGGGAAACUGGAGCUAAUACCGGAUACGCCCUUAUGGGGAAAGGUUUACUGCCGAAGGAUCGGCCCGCGUCUGAUUAGCUAGUUGGUGGGGUAACGGCCUACCAAGGCGACGAUCAGUAGCUGGUCUGAGAGGAUGAUCAGCCACACUGGGACUGAGACACGGCCCAGACUCCUACGGGAGGCAGCAGUGGGGAAUAUUGGACAAUGGGCGCAAGCCUGAUCCAGCCAUGCCGCGUGAGUGAUGAAGGCCUUAGGGUUGUAAAGCUCUUUUGUCCGGGACGAUAAUGACGGUACCGGAAGAAUAAGCCCCGGCUAACUUCGUG